rnacentral:rRNA from 2 species
UACAGAGGGGGCAAGCGUUGUUCGGAAUUACUGGGCGUAAAGGGCGUGAAGGCGGUCUGCUAAGUCGAACGUGAAAUCCCCGGGCUCAACCCGGGAACUGCGUCCGAUACUGGCAGGCUUGAAUCCGGGAGAGGGAUGUGGAAUUCCAGGUGUAGCGGUGAAAUGCGUAGAUAUCUGGAGGAACACCGGUGGCGAAGGCGACAUCCUGGACCGGUAUUGACGCUGUAGCGCGAAAGCUAGGGGAGCAAACGGG